rnacentral:rRNA from 1 species
UACGGAGGGUGCGAGCGUUAAUCGGAAUCACUGGGCGUAAAGCGCGCGUAGGCGGCUUAGUAAGUCAGGGGUGAAAUCCCACGGCUCAACCGUGGAACUGCCUUUGAUACUGCUUAGCUUGAGUGUGUGAGAGGAUGGUGGAAUUCCUGGUGUAGGAGUGAAAUCCGUAGAGAUCAGGAGGAAGAUCAGUGGCGAAGGCGACCAUCUGGCACAAUACUGACGCUGAGGUGCGAAAGCGUGGGUAGCAAACAGG